AAUACGUAGGGUGCAAGCGUUGUCCGGAAUUGUUGGGCGUAAAGAGCUCGUAGGCGGUUUGUCGCGUCUGCUGUGAAAACUCGGGGCUCAACCCCGAGCUUGCAGUGGGUACGGGCAGACUAGAGUGCGGUAGGGGAGACUGGAAUUCCUGGUGUAGCGGUGGAAUGCGCAGAUAUCAGGAGGAACACCGGUGGCGAAGGCGGGUCUCUGGGCCGUAACUGACGCUGAGGAGCGAAAGCAUAGGGAGCGAACAGG
rnacentral:rRNA from 1 species